ACUUAAAAAAACAAAGAGUGUAAAUAAAUCUUUGCUCACAGUAAACUGUCGGGCGGUGGAGCUUCUUGUUUUUUGUUUUUGUUUUUUUUACAGACGACUCUCCGAUAAGUCGAUCACGGUCGCUGAUGAAGCUCUGCAGUCAGUCAGUCAGCGUGACGCGGUGUCAGACACAGGCGGCCAUUGUUACACACUGAUUUCCAUCAUGUCCUCUCUUCACAGGACAGUGUGUGUGUGUGUGUGAGUGUGUGUGUGUGUGUGUGUGUGUGUGUGUGUGUGUGUGUGUGUGUGUGUGUGUGUGUGUGUGUGUGUGUGUGUGUGUGUGUGUGUGUGUGUGUGUGUGUGUGUGUGUGUG